UACGAAGGGUGCAAACGUUGCUCGGAAUUAUUUGGCGUAAAGCGCACGUAGGCGGCUUGGCCAGUCGGAUGUGAAAUCCCUCGGCUCAACCAAGGAAGUGCAUCCGAAACUGCCGAGCUUGAGUACUUAAGAGGAUCGCGGAAUUCCCGGUGUAGAGGUGAAAUUCGUAGAUAUCGGGAGGAACACCAGUGGCGAAGGCGGCGAUCUGGGAAGAUACUGACGCUGAGGUGCGAAAGCGUGGGGAGCAAACAGG
rnacentral:rRNA from 1 species